GUUUAACUUUAUCUGAGCCCUGUGCUCCUUAAGAGAGCAAUGGAUAGGAAAUCCACGUUCUGUGUUCCAAGAAAUGGCUAACCUCAAAGGACCACCAUGUCCUUGCAUAUUGUAAAAUUAGCCCUCCCUCUAUCUUCCUCAGUAAUUCCCACGUUUUAUAAAACCCUAAGUUUCUCCCUCCUCUUCAAGACAUUCCUCAAUAGUGAAUGUUUUUCCCCACUGCAAUAUCCCGAAUAAAAUCGUCUACUUAACUGUCCACUGUAUUUUUCCUUUGUUUUGAUGCCAGGACUCAAGCAGGAUGAAGACCUUGCCUUCAGAUCCCUGUUGACUCCACCCAAGUAACAAGACCUCUGGGUUCCCCUGUGCCUUGUUUCUGGUCUGUGACCUGGGGACACAACAAUGAGUACAAUUCCUGGUCCUGCGCUUUGGACCUUGCUCAUCUGCAGCACAAUAGGUUUUCGUUCUACCUUGCUGCUUCCCUGACAGCACUUACAAUCAGCUACAGGCCACAGUGCCUGUCUUCAACAAAGAAGAGCUGUCUUGGGACCCAAGGAAAAGGACUAUGCCAGGUACCUUGCAGUACAGUCUUCUGAUGUAAUGUUUAAACAACUUUGAGAAGAUACCAGUGGACUGACUCAGGAUUUCUAGAACUCUAAUCAAGAAGAAGAUAAAUUCAUGAGACUGCUAACUAAAGAUCAAGUGGAAAAAGAAUUACACAGGACUGAAUGAACUAAUCAAGGAUGACCGUGGAUUCUGUUGAGAAUAUUGUUGCUGUUAUUAAUGUUUUAUUUUCUGAAUAUAUAAGGAGCCCUUUCCUCUUAAGCGAUCUAUACCUCAUUACAAUUUAG
rnacentral:lncRNA from 10 species